CCUCCCCCAAAUCGAAAUUUUCAGCGCCUCCCCACCCCCCAAAUCCUCAACUCCUACUCCUCCCUCCACCGCCUCCCCCUCCUCACCCUCUCCCUCCUCAACCUCACCCUCGACCCCUCCCCCCACUCUACUCCCUCUCCCUCCACGGCCUCCACCACCAAAAAGCAAUUUAGAAGCUCAAGAUCGCCGGGGAUCCAGCAAAACCUUCUUCCCCGUCGAAUCCCGUCACCAGCUCUCCGGCCUCCGCUGCCCUUCCCUCUCAAAAUCCGCGUCGUCGUCGUCGUCGGCCAUGGCGAGCUGCGGCUAUCACUCUCCUCAGUUCUCAGAGGUCAGGUUUCUCCAUUACUCCAAAUUACCAAACUGCCAUCGGCCGAAUACUUCCAUUUUUCUUUGAUUUUGGUCCUAUAUCCAAAUGGGUAUUCUGUUUUCUGUAAACUUUCGUGUUAAUAUGUAAGUUAGAUGAUAAAGUUGGAGUCUUUGAUGAUAAAUUUGAUGAGUUUGUGUUCUUUGUGUGAAGUUUGUGCGAAACCCCAUUUUUAGGAGUUUACAUUUGGAUGGAUUACUAAUUGCAUUGUUCUACUUUUUUUUAUCAUCAAUUUGGUGUUUUAUAUAUUUGCAUUCAUAGAGCCUACUGGUUGAGGCUUUCGGAGAAUUAAUUCAUGUAGAUUGAAGGGUAAAUUUGCUUAUCGCAAUUGGAUGUUUUGUUUUCUGUUUAUUGUAUUCUAGUACUCUAAUCGAUCAUCAGUAAAGUGUAAUGGUUAUUGAUCACAAAGAAAGUUUUUUGUUUCCUGUUAUCGUUCACAUAUAAUCGGUUUUUAAAUAUUGUCAUGAACCAGUAUUGUUAGUUCCGUAGGUUUGAAGUUAAUUGUUAUUUUUGUUGAUGUAUCUUAAAUGAAGAUGAGCAUACCAUUUCUCAGAUCUCUAGCAAGGUAUGCAUUACCCCGCUAUUGUUUCCAGUUGCCUUUCAGAUUCUAGCAUUUUCGUCGUCCUCCAUUUGUACUUCAUUGACACUUUUCGUUUUGCUACCGUCAGAAAUUGGUAUCAUUACCAAAACAUACAACAGAUGGACAAGCAAAGCAUUUUUUCACAAGAGAUGAUGGUAAAUAUAGUGGUUUCCAUCUGUAUUUGUCCGGAGACGAGAAUUCCUUAGCUGGAAAUAUGAUGGGAAAUAUAGCUGGAAAGAUUCAGAGCUCGGUAUGUCCCCUAUGUGGUCUUAUCUUCUUAAUAUAUGUACAAUUUUGUUGCACACAUUGGGGGAACACACUCCUACUAGUAAUACUGGAAAUUUUGGCUAUCAGUCGCAUUUCGGAGGUAAGUUUUUCUCCUUUGCUAUCUCUCGAGAUUUCUCCUAACUAUAUAUAACUAAGGGGAAAACACAAACUCAGAUAAGACUGAUAAAGGGUUGGAAGAACCUAGAGGAUCAGUCUUCUCAGGUUGGCUUUGACACCGUAAUGAUUUAUGUUAAGAGUUGAGAAAAUUAUCUUAGUAUGGUGCUUAUAAUACAACUUGCAUUAGAUGAUAGGUGUACUUUUGCCAACGCAAGCCUGGAUCAGUCUUCAGAAGGAUGGCUUGCCAAUUGCUUAUCCAAUAUUGACACGCAUCGUAGUUCUGGUGAAAUGUCUUCGUUUAUGAAUGACUCUUUCAUUUCCAAUGAACAGGUCUAAGUUUCAGAUUAGUCUAAAGUUCGAGCAUAGAAGCAGUAAAGGCUGAAAUUAUGGACCACCUUAUGAGUGGCAAGUAUACAAGUAAGCAUUCUUAUGCUUGUUUCCUGAAUUAUGGUUGGUAGCCUAAUAACAGAACUUAUGUGAUGUACAUUCAUUUAUGCAAUACCCUUGGCUUUUCUUCAUGGGGUACCUCGUGUUUAUUACAAGGGUCGCCAAGGGGACUAUUAUGUCAUGGUGAUGGAUAUGUUGGGAGUCUAUGGGAUGUUUGGUAUGGGAUGUUUGGAAUAAUAACUCCUAUGCAAUGUCAACAGAAAUGGUUGCUUGUAUUGCUAUUGAAGCAAUCUCUAUUUUAGAGAAGAUGCAUUCUAAAGGGUAGGUCUGCUCUUUACGCUAUGAAGAUGCAGAAUCUCAAUUUAUGUAAAAGUUUGUAAACAAUUUAUGUAUCUCUUUAUUAUUUUGGUGAAUGUAUUAUUUGAAUAUA